rnacentral:rRNA from 1 species
AGCACUCGACAGAGAACCGCGGGAUCAAGGGCUCCGACAAAAGGCGACGCCGUCGACCCGACCUCGCUGCUCACGGAAGAGUGCGACGUGCUCAUCCCGGCAGCUCUGGGAGGAGUCAUAAACAAGGACAAUGUUGAUGCCAUCAAAGCAAAGUACAUCAUCGAGGCUGCUAACCACCCAACAGACCCCGAGGCCGAAGAGAUUCUGGCAAAGAAGGGCGUGCUGAUCCUACCGGACAUCCUGGCCAACUCCGGCGGAGUGAUGGUGAGCUACUUCGAGUGGGUGCAGAACAUCCAGGGGUUCAUGUGGGACGAGGAGAAGGUGAAUGGGGAGCUCAAGACGUGGGUACUAAAUAUGAGCUUUCUAUCUACAAACUUUUGUCCGCGAUCUGUUUGUGACGACUUCUCUCAAGGUAGGAGCCACUUUUGUAUGUAUACUUCUCUUGAUUCGUUCUAUGUUGUCAAGUUCUCAUUCAUUUGGUGA